GAUGAACGCUAGCUACAGGCUUAACACAUGCAAGUCGAGGGGAAACGACAUCGAAAGCUUGCUUUUGAUGGGCGUCGACCGGCGCACGGGUGAGUAACGCGUAUCCAACCUGCCCACCACUUGGGGAUAACCUUGCGAAAGUAAGACUAAUACCCAAUGACGUCGCUAGAAGACAUCUUAAGGAGAAUAACGAUUUAUCGGUGAUGGAUGGGGAUGCGUCUGAUUAGCUUGUUGGCGGGGUAACGGACCACCAAGGCGACGAUCAGUAGGGGUUCUGAGAGGAAGGUCCCCCACAUUGGAACUGAGACACGGUCCAAACUCCUACGGGAGGCAGCAGUGAGGAAUAUUGGUCAAUGGGCGAGAGCCUGAACCAGCCAAGUAGCGUGCAGGAUGACGGCCCUAUGGGUUGUAAACUGCUUUUAUAAGGGAAUAAAGUGAGUCUCGUGAGACUUUUUGCAUGUACCUUAUGAAUAAGGACCGGCUAAUUCCGUGCCAGCCGCCGCAGUAA
rnacentral:rRNA from 1 species